rnacentral:rRNA from 1 species
UACAGAGGGUGCGAGCGUUGUCCGGAAUCACUGGGCGUAAAGGGCGCGUAGGUGGCCCGGUCAGUCCGUGGUGAAAGCGCGGGGCUCAACCCUGCGUCGGCCAUGGAUACUGCCGCGGCUGGAGCACUGUAGAGGCAGGCGGAAUUCCGGGUGUAGCGGUGGAAUGCGUAGGAGAUCCGGAAGAACACCGGUGGCGAAGGCGGCCGUGCUG